rnacentral:rRNA from 1 species
AUUGAACGCUGGCGGCAUGCCUUACACAUGCAAGUCGAACGGCAGCGCGGACUUCGGUCUGGCGGCGAGUGGCGAACGGGUGAGUAAUACAUCGGAACGUACCCUGUUGUGGGGGAUAACUAGUCGAAAGAUUAGCUAAUACCGCAUACGACCCGAGGGUGAAAGUGGGGGAUCGCAAGGCCUCACGCAGCAGGAGCGGCCGAUGUCUGAUUAGCUAGUUGGUGGGGUAAAGGCCCACCAAGGCGACGAUCAGUAGCUGGUCUGAGAGGACGAUCAGCCACACUGGGACUGAGACACGGCCCAGACUCCUACGGGAGGCAGCAGUGGGGAAUUUUGGACAAUGGGGGCAACCCUGAUCCAGCAAUGCCGCGUGUGUGAAGAAGGCCUUCGGGUUGUAAAGCACUUUUGUCCGGAAAGAAAUCGCGCUGGUUAAUACCUGGCGUGGAUGACGGUACCGGAAGAAUAAGCACCGGCUAACUACGUG